rnacentral:lncRNA from 1 species
CCUGAAGUUGCCAUCUGAUUAUUUUAAAGUUCUAAAGUUGGUAGCUUGCUGGUUGGGAGAUAUAUAUAUGUACACACACAUGUAUACAUAUACAGUCUAGUGUGUGAAGCACACAGAUCUUAAGUGUGCAGCUCAAUGACUUUUUACAUAGGGAUACACGCGUGUCGCCACCCAGAUCACCAGGAUCUAGAAGGUUUUCUGCACCCCGGAAGAUUCCCUUGUGUUCUUCCCCAGACUUUUACAGGUCGGAUCAGCUAAUCCUGGGUCACAGAGUGCAUGCCUGAGACAGAAUCAAAGACAGUGAGUCAUCUGAGGGCCAAAGCUGGGAGCAGGAAGCCAGGACCACUCUGCGGCCUCUCAACUUGGAGAGUACUGUACCUUCUUGUGUGAUCUUGGGAAAGUGGCGUGACCUUUGGUGAUUCAGCUUUUCCAUUUUCUUGGCCCCACCUUUCUUUCAGCCAGCUGUGCAGAAGGCCCAAGAUAAACAGCUUGCUGAAGGAGAGACAGCACGGAGGAUUUUUCUUAAAGGGAAGACAAUGCCAAGGAUCUGCUUCCACGCCUUCCAUGAUGGCUCCACUCCUAGCUUCAGUCCCCACCCUGUGCCCUACAUUUGUCCUGGGCUCGCUCCUAGCACAGUGUUCCAUCUGCUGUUGGCCAC